AGCGAACGCUGGCGGCAGGCCUAACACAUGCAAGUCGAACGAACUCUUCGGAGUUAGUGGCGGACGGGUGAGUAACACGUGGGAACGUGCCUUUGGUUCGGAAUAACUCAGGGAAACUUGUGCUAAUACCGAAUGUGCCCUUCGGGGGAAAGAUUUAUCGCCAUUAGAGCGGCCCGCGUCUGAUUAGCUAGUUGGUGAGGUAACGGCUCACCAAGGCGACGAUCAGUAGCUGGUCUGAGAGGAUGACCAGCCACACUGGGACUGAGACACGGCCCAGACUCCUACGGGAGGCAGCAGUGGGGAAUCUUGCGCAAUGGGCGAAAGCCUGACGCAGCCAUGCCGCGUGAAUGAUGAAGGUCUUAGGAUUGUAAAAUUCUUUCACCGGGGACGAUAAUGACGGUACCCGGAGAAGAAGCCCCGGCUAACUUCGUG
rnacentral:rRNA from 1 species